UGGGGAAUCUUCCGCAAUGGACGAAAGUCUGACGGAGCAACGCCGCGUGAGUGAUGACGGCCUUCGGGUUGUAAAGCUCUGUUAAUCGGGACGAAUGGCUCUUGUGCGAAUAGUGCAAGGAUUUGACGGUACCGGAAUAGAAAGCCACGGCCAACUACGUGCCAGCAGCCGCGGUAAUACGUAGGUGGCAAGCGUUGUCCGGAAUUAUUGGGCGUAAAGCGCGCGCAGGCGGAUUGGUCAGUCUGUCUUAAAAGUUCGGGGCUUAACCCCGUGAUGGGAUGGAAACUGCCAAUCUAGAGUAUCGGAGAGGAAAGUGGAAUUCCUAGUGUAGCGGAGGAAUGCGUAGAUAUUAGGAAGAACACCAGUGGCGAAGGCGACUUUCUGGACGAAAACUGACGCUGAGGCGCGAAAGCCAGGGGAGCGAACGGG
rnacentral:rRNA from 1 species